rnacentral:rRNA from 1 species
GGGAUUUCUUGGACGAAGCAACAUUGAAUGACGCGGCGAAGUACGACAAGAC